AACGUAGGUGACAAGCGUUAUCCGGAUUUACUGGGCGUAAAGCGUGUGCAGGCGGGGGGAUAAGUGGUGUAUGAAAACGCUCGGCUUAACCGGGCGCUGUUAUGCCAGACUAUCUCUCUGGAGCGCGAGAGAGGAGCGUGGAAUUCCGGGUGUAGUGGUGAAAUGCGUAGAGAUCCGGAGGAACCCCAGAGGCGAAGGCGGCGCUCUGGCUCGCGACUGACGCUCAGACACGACGAGCAUGGGAGCGAACGGG
rnacentral:rRNA from 1 species